AUUGAACGCUGGCGGCAGGCCUAACACAUGCAAGUCGAGCGGGGCGGCGGACGGGUGGGUAAUGCCUAGGAAUCUGCCUGGUAGUGGGGGAUAACGUCCGGAAACGGGCGCUAAUACCGCAUACUAUGAGAUGAGCCUAGGUCGGAUUAGCUAGUAGGUGGGUUAAAGGCCUACCAAGGCCACGAUCCGUAACUGGUCUGCGGCGAUGAUCAGUCACAGUGGAACUGAGAAACGUGCCAGGCUCCAACGGGAGGCGGCAGGGGGCAAUUGGGGAUAAUGCGCGAAAGCCUGAUCCAGCAAGGCCGCGUGUGUGAAGAGGGUCUUCGGAUUGUGAAGCACUUUAAGUUGGGAGGCGUUACCAGCAGAAUAAGCACCGGCUAACUUCGUGCCAGCCGCCGCGGUAAUGC
rnacentral:rRNA from 1 species